AUUGAACGCUGGCGGCAGGCUUAACACAUGCAAGUCGAGCGAGCGGCGGACGGGUGAGUAAUGUCUGGGAAACUGCCUGAUGGAGGGGGAUAACUACUGGAAACGGUAGCUAAUACCGCAUCCCACCCGAUGUGCCCAGCUGGGAUUAGCUAGUAGGUGGGGUAAUGGCUCACCUAGGCGACGAUACCUAGCUGGUCUGAGAGGAUUACCAGCCACACUGGAACGGCUACACGGCCCAGACUCCUACGGGAGGAAGCAGUGGGGAAUAUUGGACAAUGGGCGAAAGCCUGAUGCAGCCAUGCCGCGUGUGUGAAGAAGGCCUUCGGGUUGUAAAGCACUUUCAGCGAGGAGGCGUUACUCGCAGAAGAAGCACCGGCUAACUCCGGGCCAGCAGCCGCGGUAAUAC
rnacentral:rRNA from 1 species